GGGUUGUGAGGUUAAGCGACUAAGCGUACACGGUGGAUGCCCUGGCAGUCAGAGGCGAUGAAGGACGUGCUAAUCUGCGAUAAGCGUCGGUAAGGUGAUAUGAACCGUUAUAACCGGCGAUUUCCGAAUGGGGAAACCCAGUGUGUUUCGACACACUAUCAUUAACUGAAUCCAUAGGUUAAUGAGGCGAACCGGGGGAACUGAAACAUCUAAGUACCCCGAGGAAAAGAAAUCAACCGAGAUUCCCCCAGUAGCGGCGAGCGAACGGGGAGCAGCCCAGAGCCUGAAUCAGUGUGUGUGUUAGUGGAAGCGUCUGGAAAGGCGCGCGAUACAGGGUGACAGCCCCGUACACAAAAAUGCACAUGCUGUGAGCUCGAUGAGUAGGGCGGGACACGUGGUAUCCUGUCUGAAUAUGGGGGGACCAUCCUCCAAGGCUAAAUACUCCUGACUGACCGAUAGUGAACCAGUACCGUGAGGGAAAGGCGAAAAGAACCCCGGCGAGGGGAGUGAAAAAGAACCUGAAACCGUGUACGUACAAGCAGUGGGAGCACGCUUAGGCGUGUGACUGCGUACCUUUUGUAUAAUGGGUCAGCGACUUAUAUUCUGUAGCAAGGUUAACCGAAUAGGGGAGCCGAAGGGAAACCGAGUCUUAACUGGGCGUUAAGUUGCAGGGUAUAGACCCGAAACCCGGUGAUCUAGCCAUGGGCAGGUUGAAGGUUGGGUAACACUAACUGGAGGACCGAACCGACUAAUGUUGAAAAAUUAGCGGAUGACUUGUGGCUGGGGGUGAAAGGCCAAUCAAACCGGGAGAUAGCUGGUUCUCCCCGAAAGCUAUUUAGGUAGCGCCUCGUGAAUUCAUCUCCGGGGGUAGAGCACUGUUUCGGCAAGGGGGUCAUCCCGACUUACCAACCCGAUGCAAACUGCGAAUACCGGAGAAUGUUAUCACGGGAGACACACGGCGGGUGCUAACGUCCGUCGUGAAGAGGGAAACAACCCAGACCGCCAGCUAAGGUCCCAAAGUCAUGGUUAAGUGGGAAACGAUGUGGGAAGGCCCAGACAGCCAGGAUGUUGGCUUAGAAGCAGCCAUCAUUUAAAGAAAGCGUAAUAGCUCACUGGUCGAGUCGGCCUGCGCGGAAGAUGUAACGGGGCUAAACCAUGCACCGAAGCUGCGGCAGCGACACUGUGUGUUGUUGGGUAGGGGAGCGUUCUGUAAGCCUGUGAAGGUGUACUGUGAGGUAUGCUGGAGGUAUCAGAAGUGCGAAUGCUGACAUAAGUAACGAUAAAGCGGGUGAAAAGCCCGCUCGCCGGAAGACCAAGGGUUCCUGUCCAACGUUAAUCGGGGCAGGGUGAGUCGACCCCUAAGGCGAGGCCGAAAGGCGUAGUCGAUGGGAAACAGGUUAAUAUUCCUGUACUUGGUGUUACUGCGAAGGGGGGACGGAGAAGGCUAUGUUGGCCGGGCGACGGUUGUCCCGGUUUAAGCGUGUAGGCUGGUUUUCCAGGCAAAUCCGGAAAAUCAAGGCUGAGGCGUGAUGACGAGGCACUACGGUGCUGAAGCAACAAAUGCCCUGCUUCCAGGAAAAGCCUCUAAGCAUCAGGUAACAUCAAAUCGUACCCCAAACCGACACAGGUGGUCAGGUAGAGAAUACCAAGGCGCUUGAGAGAACUCGGGUGAAGGAACUAGGCAAAAUGGUGCCGUAACUUCGGGAGAAGGCACGCUGAUAUGUAGGUGAAGUCCCUCGCGGAUGGAGCUGAAAUCAGUCGAAGAUACCAGCUGGCUGCAACUGUUUAUUAAAAACACAGCACUGUGCAAACACGAAAGUGGACGUAUACGGUGUGACGCCUGCCCGGUGCCGGAAGGUUAAUUGAUGGGGUUAGCGGUAACGCGAAGCUCUUGAUCGAAGCCCCGGUAAACGGCGGCCGUAACUAUAACGGUCCUAAGGUAGCGAAAUUCCUUGUCGGGUAAGUUCCGACCUGCACGAAUGGCGUAAUGAUGGCCAGGCUGUCUCCACCCGAGACUCAGUGAAAUUGAACUCGCUGUGAAGAUGCAGUGUACCCGCGGCAAGACGGAAAGACCCCGUGAACCUUUACUAUAGCUUGACACUGAACAUUGAGCCUUGAUGUGUAGGAUAGGUGGGAGGCUUUGAAGUGUGGACGCCAGUCUGCAUGGAGCCGACCUUGAAAUACCACCCUUUAAUGUUUGAUGUUCUAACGUUGACCCGUAAUCCGGGUUGCGGACAGUGUCUGGUGGGUAGUUUGACUGGGGCGGUCUCCUCCUAAAGAGUAACGGAGGAGCACGAAGGUUGGCUAAUCCUGGUCGGACAUCAGGAGGUUAGUGCAAUGGCAUAAGCCAGCUUGACUGCGAGCGUGACGGCGCGAGCAGGUGCGAAAGCAGGUCAUAGUGAUCCGGUGGUUCUGAAUGGAAGGGCCAUCGCUCAACGGAUAAAAGGUACUCCGGGGAUAACAGGCUGAUACCGCCCAAGAGUUCAUAUCGACGGCGGUGUUUGGCACCUCGAUGUCGGCUCAUCACAUCCUGGGGCUGAAGUAGGUCCCAAGGGUAUGGCUGUUCGCCAUUUAAAGUGGUACGCGAGCUGGGUUUAGAACGUCGUGAGACAGUUCGGUCCCUAUCUGCCGUGGGCGCUGGAGAACUGAGGGGGGCUGCUCCUAGUACGAGAGGACCGGAGUGGACGCAUCACUGGUGUUCGGGUUGUCAUGCCAAUGGCACUGCCCGGUAGCUAAAUGCGGAAGAGAUAAGUGCUGAAAGCAUCUAAGCACGAAACUUGCCCCGAGAUGAGUUCUCCCUGACUCCUUGAGAGUCCUGAAGGAACGUUGAAGACGACGACGUUGAUAGGCCGGGUGUGUAAGCGCAGCGAUGCGUUGAGCUAACCGGUACUAAUGAACCGUGAGGCUUAACCUUACAACGCCGAAG
rnacentral:rRNA from 1 species